GACGAACCGUGCGAACGUUGUUCGGAAUCACUGGGCUUAAAGGGCGCGUAGGCGGGCCACCCAGUCCGGGGUGAAAUCUUUCGGCUCAACCGGAAAAGGGCCUUGGAUACUGGUGGUCUGGAGGAAGGUAGGGGCAUGCGGAACUUCCGGUGGAGCGGUGAAAUGCGUUGAUAUCGGAAGGAACGCCGGUGGCGAAAGCGACCCACUGGAUCUCUACUGACGCUGAGGCGCGAAAGCCAGGGGAGCAAACGGG
rnacentral:rRNA from 1 species